rnacentral:rRNA from 1 species
AUUGACUGAGUGGCGGACGGGUGAGUAACGCGUGGGUAACCUGCCUCAUACAGGGGGAUAACAGUUCCAAAUGACUGCUAAUACCGCAUAAGCGCACAGAAUCGCAUGAUAAUGUGUGAAAAACUCCGGUGGUAUGAGAUGGACCCGCGUCUGAUUAGCUAGUUGGUGGGGUAAAGGCCUACCAAGGCGACGAUCAGUAGCCGACCUGAGAGGGUGAUCGGCCACAUUGGGACUGAGACACGGCCCAAACUCCUACGGGAGGCAGCAGUGGGGAAUAUUGCACAAUGGGGGAAAUCCUGAUGCAUCAACCCCCCGUGAGUG